GACGAACGCUGGCGGCGUGCCUAACACAUGCAAGUCGAGCGAGUGAAUCUCCUUCGGGAGUGAAGCUAGCGGCGGACGGGUGAGUAACACGUGGGCAACCUGCGUCAUAGAGGGGAAUAGCCUUUCGAAAGGAAGAUUAAUACCGCAUAAGAUUGUAGCUUCGCAUGAAGUAGCAAUUAAAGGAGCAAUCCGCUAUGAGAUGGGCCCGCGGCGCAUUAGCUAGUUGGUGAGGUAACGGCUCACCAAGGCAACGAUGCGUAGCCGACCUGAGAGGGUGAUCGGCCACAUUGGGACUGAGACACGGCCCAGGCUCCUACGGGAGGCAGCAGUGGGGAAUAUUGCACAAUGGGGGAAACCCUGAUGCAGCAACGCCGCGUGAGUGAUGACGGCCUUCGGGUUGUAAAGCUCUGUCUUCAGGGACGAUAAUGACGGUACCUGAGGAGGAAGCCACGGCUAACUACGUGCCAGCCGCCGCGGUAA
rnacentral:rRNA from 1 species